rnacentral:rRNA from 1 species
AACGAACGCUGGCGGCAUGCCUAACACAUGCAAGUCGAACGAGACCUUCGGGUCUAGUGGCGCACGGGUGCGUAACGCGUGGGAAUCUGCCCUCUGGUUCGGAACAACAGUUGGAAACGGCUGCUAAUACCGGAUAAUGACUUCGGUCCAAAGAUUUAUCGCCUGAGGAUGAGCCCGCGUCGGAUUAGCUUGUUGGUGAGGUAAAAGCUCACCAAGGCGACGAUCCGUAGCUGGUCUGAGAGGAUGAUCAGCCACACUGGGACUGAGACACGGCCCAGACUCCUACGGGAGGCAGCAGUGGGGAAUAUUGGACAAUGGGCGAAAGCCUGAUCCAGCAAUGCCGCGUGAGUGAUGAAGGCCUUAGGGUUGUAAAGCUCUUUUACCCGGGAUGGUAAUGACAGUACCGGGAGAAUAAGCUCCGGCUAACUUCGUGCCAGCCGCCGCAGUAAUAC